rnacentral:ribozyme from 13 species
AAACAAAACCAAAACAAAAAACAGGACCUCCUUUGUGAGAACCCCAAGGAAUCCUUUUUUUCUUUCUUGCUCUCUUUUCCUUUCCUUUUCUCUCUCUCUUUCUCUUCUCUCUCUUUCCGAUUUUUCUCCAGAAACAAAAAAAACAAAAAUGACAGACA